rnacentral:lncRNA from 10 species
UUUCUACAUUCUUUACCAGAUUGGAGGUUUCUGUAGAGGUGGAGUCCGGGAAUGACUUUAUUGUGUCUUCUCACUCUGGUCCUUCACAGACUGCAGUCAAGUGUCAGCUGGAGCUGCGGUCAUCUCAAGCCUCUACAGGAAGAAAGGCCAUCUUCAGGCUUGCUCAUGUGGUUGUUGGCAGGAUUCAGUUUUUCUCUGGUAGCUGGACUGAGGGAAUCAGUUCCUCAUGAGCUGUUGGCCAGACACCUAUCUUAGUACUUUGUCUCAUACACCUCUCCGUACAGCAUUUCACAGCAUGAUAACUUUCUUCAUCAAAGCAAGGAAAUGAGAGAGCAAGAAUGGGUUAGCAAGAUGGAAGCUAGAAUCUUUCUUGUAAGCUGAUGUUGGAUAUGACGUUCCAUCACUUUGGCUGUAUUCUAUCCAUUAGAAGCAAAUAAUUAAGUUCAGUUGACACUGAAAUGGAGGAGAUUACACAAGGGCAUGAAUACCAGGCAUAAGGCAUCAUUCGAAACUAUUUUAGAAGAGGCUACCACAAGCUGUAUACAAAAUAUACUAGUUGCUCAGAGAAGUCUUUAAAUCUAAUAAAUUUUAAAUCUAAGUGGGAGUAAAUAAUCUAACAGAUUUUAAUAAAGUUGGAGUAAGAACUGAAAAGAAGCAAGAGGUAUUUGAAUUGUGGGAUGGAGCUUGUAUAGUAGUUAUAUUAUAUUGUGUUACGCGUCUUUUGUAUGGAUGGGGAUAUUUAAAACAAGAGAAUAAAGACAUUUCUGGAAGCUGGAAGAAUAUAGGAAAGCAUGUUGAGUCAUGAAGCUAUGGAGACAAGUCAUGGAUAAAAUUGUAGACAAUAGAUCUUAAAUUUUGGAAAGGCUGAAAAUCCAUUUGAAUAAUUGAUGAGAAACAAUACUGUUCUCAAAGGAAAAGACCAAAAACAGUUUUUUUUUGGUUGGUUUUGUUUUGUUUUGUUUUUUACUUUUCUGAGACCCAAGUUAAAAAACAAACAAAAACCUUAAGGUUAAUUGGGGCUGAGAAAAAUUUUGAAGGGCAUUCUUCCUAGGAAAUUGGAAUUUUAUUCUACCAGAUAAUGAUCAGUCUCUGAAGAAACUUUAAAAAGGAGAAUAAUUGAGGGUAUUCACUAACAAUGAUUGCAGUGUCACUAACAGAUUAGGGGGAAAGAGGCAGAUUAUUAAGCUAUUGUAGUAAUCCAGGCAAUAAGAUACAGAUAUCUGAAUAGGGCAAUGAUGAUUGGGUAGGGAAAAAGACUUAUCUCUGGGACGUAUAAUCAAUUGAACUUGACUAAAUUAAAACUCAGAUGGUAUAGAAUGGAGGAUGAUUUUAUAUUUCUGGUUUUAGAAACUGGAUCAUAACAUUUUGAGAGAUAUGAUACUUUUUGGAUAAGAAAACAAAAAAAUCAUCAACAUAAGUGUGUGUAUAUUAACAAAUAUAUCAGUUUUCCUAGAAAUAAAAGAGCAG